CUGUUUUCUUCUAGAUCACCGGCAACGCUCUCUCUCAGGAUCUCUCUUCUCUCUCGCUUCUCUCCACAGGGAACCGAAGCCAUGGCCACCGGCCGUCCAUGGUCGCCGCCGCAAGGAUCUGCUCGCCUCCGCUGCCUCCGCGCCAUCCCUGUCGCCGGAGGAUGCAGCCCCGCCGCUUCCAAGUCCUCUGCUUCGCCCGUGGUCGAGCGAGACGACCAUAAACGCAGCCGCGUUGACCGCCCGCUCGCCAGCGCCUUUCUGCCUCGCUGGCAAGGCCCAGCCUGCUCCAGCUCCUCAUCCGGCAUGCCAGGCCUCUCCACCAGCUGGGCCGAGGCCCAUGUCCCGGUAAUGUUGCGAUUGUGAGGAUUCGUUCGACUACGUCCAUUUGUCUUCUUCAUGGACUCGUUCUUCUUCCUAGCGGGAUUUCAGUUUGCAGGUACCAAUGUUACCAAGCAGGUGACGCCACCAAGCUCAAGGAGGAGCUCGAUGAAGAUCUUGCCCUUUGUGUUGUUUCGUUCUAGUUGAUCAGUAGUGGAGCCCAGUUGGGGUCGAUCGGGGACCUUUGUCACAUUUGGGGUUCUUCUUUUAUUUUGGUUCCGUAGUCGGACCUUGAUUGUAUCUGUAUGAUGUAAUGCUUUACUCAUGUAUUGUGUGAAGUGGCGAUUGUAAGCCAACUAUGUAUCUCUUUCCC
rnacentral:rRNA from 1 species